rnacentral:rRNA from 1 species
UACAGAGGUCUCAAGCGUUGUUCGGAUUCAUUGGGCGUAAAGGGUGCGUAGGUGGCGCGGUAAGUCGGGUGUGAAAUCUCGGAGCUUAACUCCGAAAUUGCAUUCGAUACUGCCGUGCUCGAGGACUGGGAGAGGAGACUGGAAUUCAUGGUGUAGCAGUGAAAUGCGUAGAGAUCAUGAGGAAGACCAGUGGCGAAGGCGGGUCUCUGGACAGUUCCUGACACUGAGGCACGAAGGCCAGGGGAGCAAACGGG